CGUGCCAACGGCAGUGCAGAGUAGCUAUGAUCGGACAGGAUAACCGCUGAAGGCAUCUAAGCGGGAAGCCCCCUUCAAAACAAGAUAUCCCUGAGAGCCGAGGUAGACCACCUCGUCGAUAGGCCAGAGAUGUAAGCGCUGUAAGGCGUUCAGUUGACUGGUACUAAUGGCUCGAUAGGCUUGAUUUG
rnacentral:rRNA from 1 species